rnacentral:rRNA from 1 species
UACGUAGGCAGCGAGCGUUGUUCGGAAUUACUGGGCGUAAAGAGUGCGUAGGCGGUGUUCUAAGUCUGUUGUGAAAUCUCCCGGCUCAACUGGGAGGGUGCGGCGGAAACUGGAAUGCUCGAGUAUGGGAGAGGUAAGCGGAAUUCCUGGUGUAGCGGUGAAAUGCGUAGAUAUCAGGAGGAACACCUGCGGUGUAGAUAGCUUACUGGACCAUGACUGACGCUGAGGCACGAAAGCGUGGGUAGCAAACAGG